ensembl:lincRNA uncharacterized LOC106146935
AUGCCCCAGGUUGAUUUUAAACUUGUGAUCCUCCUGCCUCAGCCUCCAAAAGUGCUCGGAUUAUGGGUGUGCACUACCACCACUCCUGCUCUCCUUCUUGCCUGCCUCCUUUUCCCACCCCCUGAGGUAGACGCCCUGGGCAGUGAGCAGCACGACUUCUGUGUCAUCCCCAGCCCUCUUCUCCGGGACUCCGUGGUUCCAUGGCCAGGAACCACGGGGCAGCAAAGGGCGAAGGCUGGACCCCAGCAGCUUGUCCCACAUGCUUUGGUGAGCACACCAUGGACACCAAGGCUAGCGACGAGAGCCCUGCGCUCAGCUGCGGAGGGUGGCUCUGGGUGCAGGAGCUGGGAGCUGAUUAACCAAUCACCCAAGGGCGCUGGGACAGCUCCUUCCGAGUCCUCCGGUACUCCGCCUCCAAGCCUCGGCACCCUCACCUGGAUGACACAGCCUCCUGGACCCACUGCAGUUCAUAGCACAGCUGCAGUCUCUGAGAUCCUGUCCCUGGCAUUCAUGCCCUUGAGGGCUCGUCCCAUGCUGAACCUGGGGGAUCCACGUGACAUCUGGGGUUGAGGGAGUUGAGUGCUCCCUCUCCCGUCUUGGUGUUUUGGCUGCCUUGGCUCAGGGGAAAGCUGCUCACUACUUCCUGAGGAGCCCCAGGCCAGCCUAGAGAAGCUUUGUGAAGAGCACUCCAGGCCCCAAGUGACACCACAUGAGCCACCCCCUGAGCAGCCGGUCCUAUGGGCCAGGAGGAGCUCACCGCAAACGCAGCCAGCUGACGUGGACCUGCAGCCUGUAAGACAGAUCUUGGGCUGGAGCACCUGGCCUGCUGCUCUUGGAUUCCUGACCUGCAGAACCUGUGAUGAUAAACCGUGAUCCUUGCUUUAACCACCAAGUUUUGGGGUGAAUGUCAAUGCAGCCAAAAUGAGCAGAAUGCCUUGGGUAACUGCACCCCCAUUCAGUGAGGGGGCCCCAGCCUUCAGUGCCCUAAGAUUCAUCAUCCCUCUGACACCGAGGACCCUAAAGCAGCCCUGCAGCACGUAAGCAUCAGAGAGGUGCAGCCACCACCCCUGCCUCGUUCGGUUGCUCGGAAGUCAGUCUGGAAGGUACCGGCACCAACAAAGGGGAAUGUCGUGGGGUGGCACCCAGAAACCGCCUCAGGUGUGAUCACGGGUACUGAGGUCUUCUAGCACCCUGCUGUGUGUGAUAUUCUUGUCUCUGUCUUGUGUUCUCCACCGGCCAGGGUGAAAGUUGAUUUCCCAGUACCUAAUCCUGUGCUCCAGAUAUUAUUUACACAUCACAACAACUUAGGAGGAGCUACAGUCAGGCCCAGGCACCCCUCGACAUGCCCAGGGUCAGUUAGCAGCUAUUAGUCAGGACUGCCGGAAGCCAAUUAAAACUGUCAUAAGCAAUUAGAAGAGGGUUAUGUUACCUGCUCAUGUGACCAAAACACACAGGGUGAGAGCAGAGCCUCCAGAUUCACCAGCGGCGGACCCUACCCAGAACCCUUCCUCCAUCUCCCAGGUCGGCUGGCUCUGCCCAGCCUCUGCCCUCCAACGGGCUCUCUGGAGUAGUGACAGCUCCAGGAAGGGCUUGGACUGGGGCUGGCCUGGGGCUGCUGUGGUCUUGACCCCAGUCUGGACCUAAACAGGUAUGCAUGUUCUGAUCAACCAGCCCUGGGUCACGGCCCCCAGGGCCCCCAGAGCCACAACCACACUGGAACCCUUCGGUCCCACCCUUGAGCCACAUGGACCGGCACAGUGACAGCAGCAGCUGGACGGUCCUACCGAGCAAAGACAAUGGGGGCAGAGCUGGGCCUGGUGCAGCAGGAGGAAGAGGGGGCCUUUGGGAGGCUGUGAGGUCCUGAGGGCUCCCCUCUCUCAGUGUGACCGAGGCCAUUCGGAAAGAGGCUUCCAACGGUGUUGGGCUCCCGUCUUUGUGCCCCUGUCACUCUGCUGUGUGAGGACAUUGCCUUCAUCAUCUCUGGAGGAGGUAGCAGCAAGCUGCCACGCCGGCCACAGACAGUGGUCCUCUCUGUCACCAACCCUGCUGCAGCCCUGAAGUUGGGCUUCCAGGCUGCAGAACUGUGAGAAACCACGGGAGCUGUUUGUCAUUGCCUCGCCUCAGAUCCUCCACAACAGCAGCAACCUCAGGAAUGGCUUCCACCUAACUUAACGCGGCUUUGCCCAAAGGGAGAGGAGGGAAAGGGGAAGUAAAAAGAAUUAAGGUGUUGGGUACAUGUUCCAACUUCCCACAAUGAAGGGAAUCAUUAUGUACUAUAAACAUGAACUAAUAAAA